rnacentral:snoRNA from 1 species
CCUCUCUAUGCUGGGGAGAUCACUUCCUUCGUCCUCAAGGGUUCAGACAUCGAGUAUAACCCGGUGGUCUCUGCCCUUGCCGCACAUGUAGAACCGGUGACCGUCCAAGAACUCUAUAAUCAACUCCUCAGUUUUGAAG